UGCUGCCUACGGGACGCAGCAGUGGGGAAUAUUGCACAAUGGGGGAAACCCUGAUGCAGCGACGCCGCGUGAGCGAUGAAGUAUUUCGGUAUGUAAAGCUCUAUCAGCAGGGAAGAAAAUGACGGUACCUGACUAAGAAGCCCCGGCUAACUACGUGCCAGCAGCCGCGGUAAUACGUAGGGGGCAAGCGUUAUCCGGAUUUACUGGGUGUAAAGGGGGCGCAGACGGCCAUGGCAAGCCCGGUGUGAAAGGCAGGGGCAUAACCCCUGGACUGCACUGGGAACUGUCAGGCUGGAGUGCCGGAG
rnacentral:rRNA from 1 species